rnacentral:lncRNA from 1 species
CCUGGACCGUUCCUUGCAGACACAUCCACAGUGUUACAGAGAUACACACGGAGUCCCAAACAGAUAAAGAAGAGAGUGUCUGCAGGACAGCAGCAGCAGACAGUGGCACAGACACACAGGCCUUGGACGGGCAGUGCCGGCGAGGUCACCACGGCAUGGAAGCCCCUCAGGGACUUCAGAGGCUGGCCUUGGAUGGGGAGCGGUGUGGAAUGGAGGGGCCCAAGAUCACCCACUCGGCCUCCCCAGCACCCCCCUGGCCAUGAGCAAGGAUAGCUUGGAGAUGGCAUCACCUUGGACCUGGACUACCUGCUUGCUACUUAGAGGAACCAGCUGAGCCCCCUCCCACAGGGGACGUGCCCACCGGGAGCCUGCCC